rnacentral:rRNA from 1 species
GGACUACCGGGGUUUCUAAUCCUGUUUGCUCCCCACGCUGUCGCGCCUCAGUGUCAGCAACUGCCCAGCUCACCGCCUUCGCCACCGGUGUUCUUCCGGAUCUCUACGCAUUCCACCGCUACACCCGGAAUUCCAUGAGCCUCUACAGUGCUCCAGCCCCGCAGUCUCGACGGCCGACUCGGCGUUGAGCGCCGAGCUUUCACCGUUGACUUGCGGCGCCACCUACGCGCCCUUUACGCCCAGUGAUUCCGGACAACGCUCGCACCCUCCGUAUUACCGCGGCUGCUGGCAC